GACGAACGCUGGCGGCGUGCUUAACACAUGCAAGUCGAACGCUGAAGCUUGGUGCUUGCACUGGGUGGAUGAGUGGCGAACGGGUGAGUAAUACGUGAGUAACCUGCCCUUGACUCUGGGAUAAGCCUGGGAAACUGGGUCUAAUACUGGAUACGACAUGCCACUGCAUGGUGGUGUGUGGAAAGGGUUUUACUGGUUUUGGAUGGGCUCACGUCCUAUCAGCUUGUUGGUGGGGUAAUGGCCUACCAAGGCGACGACGGGUAGCCGGCCUGAGAGGGUGAACGGCGACCCUGGGACUGCGACACGGACCAGACUCCUACGGGAGGCAGCAGUGGGGAAUAUUGCACAAUGGGCGGAAGCCUGAUGAAGCGACGCCGCGUGAGGGAUGACGGCUUUCGGGUUGUAAACCUCUUUCAGCAAGGAAGAAGCGAGAGUGACGGUACGUGAAGAAGAAGCGCCGGCUAACUACGUG
rnacentral:rRNA from 1 species